CCGGGGUAGGUGGGUGACGGCGGUCGGAGGUGUAGGAGGGAGCCGUGGAGGUCCAGCCAGUUUUUCCAGAGAUCUACUUGAUAGAGGGAAAGGAGAAAGGAAGAUGUCAUUGAACCAAGAGAAAAUUGUCUUUCUCCAUACCUUGGAAUAUUAUUUGGCAAUAAUGAAGGAAUAUUAUUUGGCAAUAAUGAAGGAAUGAAGGACUGAUAUAUGAUACAGCACAGAUGGACUUUGGAAGCAUACUAAGAGAAAGAAGCUAGUCUCGAAGAACACAUUGUAUGAUUCCAUUCCUAUGAAAUGUCCAGAAUAGCAAAGCUAUAAAGAUACAAAGUAGAUUAGUAGUCACCUUUGGCCAGUGAGGUUGGGGAGAAAUGGAGAGCGAUUGCUAAUGAUUACAAACUUUCCUUUUAGCGUAAUAGAAAUGUUCUAAAAGUGAUGAUUGUACAAUGUUGUAAAUAUAUUAAAAACCAUUGGCUUGUGUACUUCAAGUAGGUGUAUUGUAUUGCCAUAUCUCAAUAAAUUAUAUCUCAAUAAAGCCAUUUUAUUUAUAUAAAUUUAAGGGGUGCACAUGCAGUUUUGUUACAUGGUUAUAUUGCAUAGCGUGAAGUCUGGGCUUUUAGUGUAAUCAUCACCUGAAUAAUGUACAUUGUACGCAUUAAGUAAUUUCUCAUCCCUCACCCUCCCAUCCUUUUGAGUCUCCAAUGUCUUCUUAUUCCACUCUCUGUCCAUGUGUACACAUUAUUUAGGUUCCACUUACAAGUGAGAACAUGCAGCAUUUGACUUUUUUCUGAGUCAUUUCAC
rnacentral:lncRNA from 1 species